rnacentral:rRNA from 1 species
CCAGACUCCUACGGGAGGCAGCAGUGGGGAAUAUUGCACAAUGGGGGAAACCCUGAUGCAGCGACGCCGCGUGGAGGAAGAAGGUCUUCGGAUUGUAAACUCCUGUCCUUGGGGACGAUAAUGACGGUACCCAAGGAGGAAGCACCGGCUAACUACGUGCCAGCAGCCGCGGUAAAACGUAGGGUGCAAGCGUUGUCCGGAAUUACUGGGUGUAAAGGGAGCGCAGGCGGGAAGCCAAGUCAGCUGUGAAAACUACGGGCUUAACUUGUAGACUGCAGUUGAAACUGGUUUUCUUGAGUGAAGUAGAGGUUGGCGGAAUUCCGAGUGUAGCGGUGAAAUGCGUAGAUAUUAGGAGGAACACCAGUGGCGAAGGCGGCCUGCUGGGCUUUAACUGACGCUGAGGCUCGAAAGCGUGGGGAGCAAACAGGAUUAGAUACCCCGGUAAUA